rnacentral:pre_miRNA from 1 species
GCCUGCAAGAGGAAGAUAGAGAGGGCCUAAGAACAGUGGGAAUGGGAACAUGGAGGAAAGCCUAGCCUGUUUGUUUCCUCCUCUAGCGACAAAGGUGGAAGCUUGGUUUGGUGUUUCCCGAUGCCUCCCAUUCCUUUCGUUCUUAAGCAAUCCUUCCUUUUCCUUUGGCUU